GUGCAUGUGAUGAAGCAAAUCAGUAUGAAUGAAGUCAUGAUACUGUAAACGCUUUCUGAUGUA
ensembl:snoRNA